rnacentral:rRNA from 1 species
AUGUUGAUGCUCUGUAGACAGAGCAAAUCACAUCACACACGGACUAAACAAUGGAACCCGUCAGUGAUGAUUUCAUCAAUCACUGACAAUUGUAUACUAGCAAUCAUUUGCUCACAACACACACGGCUUGUUAACAGGAAUCGGCUGUGUUGUUAUCGGUCUUCCCACACGUUUCCGAUUACAGACCUGUUUGCCGCGUAUCACACACAUCUUGUUAAGUUGAACCGUUUUUGUUCUCUUGGCUCAACGCAAACAGUUCAUCCGAGUGAACUGUAUGCCGUAUAUCGCACACACCUUGAUCUUCUUUUGUGUUGCCUAAUCACAAGUAGUUCAUCCGAGUGA